GUUGUAUAGUCAAGUAAUUAAGUGCAUGUGGUGGAUGCCUUGGCAGUCAGAGGCGAUGAAAGACGUGAUAGCCUGCGAAAAGCUCCGGGGAGGCGGCAAAUAUCCUUUGAUCCGGAGAUGUCUGAAUGGGGGAACCCACCUACUUUAAGGUAGGUAUUGCAACAUGAAUACAUAGUGUUGCAAGGCGAACGAGGGGAAGUGAAACAUCUCAGUACCCUUAGGAAAAGAAAUCAAUUGAGAUUCCCUCAGUAGCGGCGAGCGAACGGGGAUCAGCCCAUUAAGUUAUGUGUGUUUUAGUGGAACGCUCUGGGAAGUGCGAACGUAGAGGGUGAUAUUCCCGUACACGAAAGGGCACACAUAAUGAUGACGAGUAGGGCGAGGCACGUGAAACCUUGUCUGAAUAUGGGGGGACCAUCCUCCAAGGCUAAAUACUCCUGACUGACCGAUAGUGAACCAGUACCGUGAGGGAAAGGCGAAAAGAACCCCUGUGAGGGGAGUGAAAUAGAUCCUGAAACCGCAUGCAUACAAGCAGUGGGAGCACCUUCGUGGUGUGACUGCGUACCUUUUGUAUAAUGGGUCAGCGACUUAUAUUCAGUAGCAAGGUUAACCGUAUAGGGGAGCCGUAGAGAAAUCGAGUCUUAAUAGGGCGUUUAGUUGCUGGGUAUAGACCCGAAACCAGGCGAUCUAUCCAUGAGCAGGUUGAAGGUUGGGUAACACUAACUGGAGGACCGAACCCACUGUCGUUGAAAAGCCAGGGGAUGACUUGUGGAUAGGGGUGAAAGGCUAAUCAAGCCUGGUGAUAGCUGGUUCUCCCCGAAAGCUAUUUAGGUAGCGCCUCGGACGAAUACCAUAGGGGGUAGAGCACUGUUUCGGCUAGGGGGUCAUCCCGACUUACCAAACCGAUGCAAACUCCGAAUACCUAUGAGUACUAUCCGGGAGACAGACUGCGGGUGCUAACGUCCGUAGUCAAGAGGAAAACAAUCCAGACCGCCAGCUAAGGCCCCAAAAUCAUAGUUAAGUGGGAAACGAUGUGGGAAGGCAUAGACAGCUAGGAGGUUGGCUUAGAAGCAGCCACCCUUUAAAGAAAGCGUAAUAGCUCACUAGUCGAGUCGGCCUGCGCGGAAGAUGUAACGGGGCUAAAACUAUGUGCCGAAGCUGCGGAUNNNNNNNNNNNNNNNNNNNNNNNNNNNNNNNNAUGCUGGAGGUAUCAGAAGUGCGAAUGCUGACGUGAGUAACGACAAAACGGGUGAAAAACCCGUUCGCCGAAAGACCAAGGGUUCCAGUCCAACGUUAAUCGGGGCUGGGUGAGUCGACCCCUAAGGCGAGGCCGAAAGGCGUAGUCGAUGGGAAAAUGGUUAAUAUUCCAUUACUUCUGUGUAAUGCGAUGAGAGGACGGAGAAGGCUAAAUCAGCCUGGCGUUGGUUGUCCAGGUGAAAGGAUGUAGGCAUGUAUCUUAGGCAAAUCCGGGGUACUCUAUGCUGAGAUCUGAUAGCAAGCUGUACUUGUACAGCGAAGUGGUUGAUGCCAUGCUUCCAGGAAAAGUCUCUAAGCUUCAGUUACACAGGAAUCGUACCCGAAACCGACACAGGUGGUCAGGUCGAGUAGACCAAGGCGCUUGAGAGAACUCUGCUGAAGGAACUAGGCAAAAUGGUACCGUAACUUCGGGAGAAGGUACGCUGUUGUUGGUGAUGGAACUCGCUUCCUGAGCUGACGACAGCCGCAGAAACCAGGCCGCUGCAACUGUUUAUUAAAAACAUAGCACUCUGCAAACACGAAAGUGGACGUAUAGGGUGUGAUGCCUGCCCGGUGCUGGAAGGUUAAUUGAUGGGGUUAGCGUAAGCGAAGCUCUUGAUCGAAGCCCCAGUAAACGGCGGCCGUAACUAUAACGGUCCUAAGGUAGCGAAAUUCCUUGUCGGGUAAGUUCCGACCUGCACGAAUGGCAUAAUGAUGGCGGCGCUGUCUCCAGCAGAGGCUCAGUGAAAUCGAAAUCGCUGUGAAGAUGCAGUGUACCCGCGGCUAGACGGAAAGACCCCGUGAACCUUUACUGCAGCUUGACACUGAACUUUGACCUUACUUGUGUAGGAUAGGUGGGAGGCUUUGAAGCUGGAACGCUAGUUCCAGUGGAGCCGUCCUUGAAAUACCACCCUGGUAAUGUUGAGGUUCUAACUCUGUCCCGUGAUCCGGGACGAGGACCGUGUCUGGUGGGUAGUUUGACUGGGGCGGUCUCCUCCUAAAGAGUAACGGAGGAGUACGAAGGUGCGCUCAGCGUGGUCGGAAAUCACGCGUAGAGUAUAAAGGCAAAAGCGCGCUUAACUGCGAGACCCACAAGUCGAGCAGGUACGAAAGUAGGUCUUAGUGAUCCGGUGGUUCUGUAUGGAAGGGCCAUCGCUCAACGGAUAAAAGGUACUCUGGGGAUAACAGGCUGAUACCGCCCAAGAGUUCAUAUCGACGGCGGUGUUUGGCACCUCGAUGUCGGCUCAUCUCAUCCUGGGGCUGAAGCAGGUCCCAAGGGUAUGGCUGUUCGCCAUUUAAAGAGGUACGCGAGCUGGGUUUAGAACGUCGUGAGACAGUUCGGUCCCUAUCUACCGUGGGCGCUGGAAAUUUGAGAGGAUCUGCUCCUAGUACGAGAGGACCAGAGUGGACGAACCUCUGGUGUACCGGUUGUGACGCCAGUCGCAUCGCCGGGUAGCUAUGUUCGGAAGGGAUAACCGCUGAAAGCAUCUAAGCGGGAAGCCUACCUCAAGAUAAGAUUUCCCUAGGACUUUAUGUCCUCUAAAGAGCCGUUCGAGACUAGGACGUUGAUAGGUUGGAUGUGGAAGCAUAGUGAUAUGUGAAGCUGACCAAUACUAAUUGCUCGUGAGGCUUGACUAUACAACACCCAAGCAGUUG
rnacentral:rRNA from 1 species